AUUGAACGCUGGCGGCAUGCCUUACACAUGCAAGUCGAACGGCAGCGCGGGAGCAAUCCUGGCGGCGAGUGGCGAACGGGUGAGUAAUAUAUCGGAACGUGCCCAUUAGUGGGGGAUAGCCCGGCGAAAGCCGGAUUAAUACCGCAUACGACCUGAGGGUGAAAGCGGGGGCUCGCAAGACCUCGCGCUAUUGGAGCGGCCGAUAUCAGAUUAGCUAGUUGGUGGGGUAAAGGCCUACCAAGGCAACGAUCUGUAGUUGGUCUGAGAGGACGACCAGCCACACUGGGACUGAGACACGGCCCAGACUCCUACGGGAGGCAGCAGUGGGGAAUUUUGGACUAUGGGCGCAAGCCUGAUCCAGCAGUGCCGCGUGCAGGAAGAAGGCCUUCGGGUUGUAAACUGCUUUUGUCAGGGAAGAAAUCCUUUGGGCUAAUACCUCGGAGGGAUGACGGUACCUGAAGAAUAAGCACCGGCUAACUACGUGCCAGCCGCCGCGGUAA
rnacentral:rRNA from 1 species